UACGUAGGGGGCAAGCGUUGUCCGGAUUUAUUGGGCGUAAAGAGCGUGUAGGCGGCCAGGUAGGUCUGCUGUGAAAACUCGAGGCUCAACCUCGAGACGUCGGCGGAAACCAUCUGGCUAGAGUCCGGAAGAGGAGAGUGGAAUUCCUGGUGUAGCGGUGAAAUGCGCAGAUAUCAGGAAGAACACCCGUGGCGAAGGCGGCCAGCUGGGCCGGCCCUGACGCUGAGGCGCGAAGGCGUGGGGAGCGAACGGG
rnacentral:rRNA from 1 species